rnacentral:rRNA from 1 species
AAAGUGCUUCUAGAAAGAA